ensembl:lncRNA
UGAAAUAUGCUUCACAUGAACCAAUAUCUGUUCAAUUGAAAAGUAUAUAAUGCAGUGGCUUCCAGAUGGCCAUGGCUUUGUGUAACUGUUACUAUAGUUUUAAAAUAAUUUUACCAUUCUUAUAAGCAUUGUCAUUAGGAUUUGAUGUAAUUUCACUGAAUCUGUACAUCAAAUGUUUGGAUGAUACUAACAUCUUAAUAUUGACAGAAAAUCACUAAUCUCAAAGGGGAAUAAGUAGUUGUUAUUCUGGAGCCAAAUGUGAGUGACUGUGGCUGUGGAACACAGAUUUAAGUUAUCUCAAAUUCCAUAUUCCAAUAUGGCAACAGUGUGAAGAAAUUUUUAUAGUAACAGAACAAAGAAGAGUAAAUUAAGGUACUUUCCAAAUUCAUUAAUGAUGGGAACAUGAAGAUCUAUCUGAAAACUCUUAUUAACCUUUUGGAUAGUGGAAGAGCCCACUAACUGUUUGAUAUAACGGCCAUAUUGCUAACAUUCCAAAAGGAUUUUACCUGUUAGCAAUACGGAUGUUAUAUCAAACAGUGAGGACAAGUAAUGGCUUCAAUAGGUUUAUAGUCACCCACAAUAAACUGGAAAUAGAGGUACAUGCCUUUAAUCCCAGCACUUGGGAGGUAAAGGCAAGUGGAUCUCUGUGAGUUUGAUGCCCGCCUGUUCUACAUAAGAGUUUUAGGACAGCCAGGGAUACAUAAUGAGACCCUGUCUCAAAAAAAAAAGAAAAAAAAAAAAAGAAAAAAAAAAGAAAAAAGAGGCGCACCCACUCACAAUAAAUUGUAAUUAGGCUAUUAGGCUAUGCAACCUCUCCACAGUUAUGGCAGUUGUAAUUAGUUAAUUAGACAUGCAGAAGGUUCAGUUAACGGUGAUUUUGUUAGUACUGCCUGUAACAUGGAAUGUCUUUCUGCUUAUGUAGGUCUUUCAUUUCUUUAAACAAGACUGUAAUUUUUCAGUGUUCAAGUUUUGUACCUCCUUUAGAUUUAUUUCUAGGUAUGUUAUUCUUUAGAUUCUGUUGUAAGUAGAAUAGCUGACUUGAUUUCUAUUUUGGGUCAUUUAUUCCAGAUGGGAUCACAGGUAAUUUUUCUGUGUUUAUGUCAUAUGCUGUAACCUUGCUGAAAUUUUUGGCUGUAGUUCAUUUAUUAUGGAUUCUUUUUUGUUUUCUAUGUGUAGGUUCAUUUAAUCAAUAUAUAGUUUUACUUCUUUCCAUUUCAAUUUUGAUGACGUUAUUCGUGUGUGUGUGUGUGUGUGUGUGUGUGUGUGUGUGUGUGUGUGUGUGUGUGUGUUUCAACUUUAGUAUCUUGUUCAAUAACAGUGGUAAAUAUUGAUGAAUAUUACUUUAACUAUGUUACAUUUGUUUAUGCUGUGGAAUAUUACUCUGUGUAAAGGUGUGUUGCAUUUGUUUAUGCUGCAUUCCUUUAAAGAUUUCAACAUGUGUUGCUUUGCCACCUAAGGCACCUGAUUGGUCUAAUAAAAAGAUGAACAUCCAAUAGGUAGGCAGUAGAGGCAUAGGUGGGGCUGGUAGGCAGAGAGAGUAAGUAGGAGGAAGAAUCUAGGCUGGGAUGGGCAGAAAGAGAAGAGAACAAGGGAAAAAAAGAGGGAGACACCCAGGACCAGCUAGGCAGUCUGCCUCCAGCCAGCCAGACAAGAAGUAGGACAUACAGAAUGAAAGAAAGCUAAAAAGUUCUUGAGGCAAAUGUAGAUUAAGAGCCAGUGGAACAAGCCUAAAUUAAGACUGAGCAUUCAAAUUAAUAAUAAGUUUCCAUGUCAUGAUUUGGGAGCUGGUUGGUGGCCUGAAAGAAAGCCUGCUACAGAUAAAAAUGGGCACCUUUGUCUUUUUUCUUGAUGUUUGAAGGAAAGCUUCUAGUUGUGGUUAAAAAUGUCCUUUAUUAUGGUCCCCUUUGCUAGUUUCCUGAGUGGUUGUUUUUAGCACUCACUUUUUUUUUAUAUGUGGGUAUUGUCAGAUGCAUUGUUUUCAUCAGUUGAUAAUGUUGUGUUUGUAAUUUCUUCUAGUAACAUGUAUUAUAUUGGUCUUAUGUUGAAUAUCUUUGUGUUCUUUUUGAUAAAUCCCACUUGGUCAUGGUAUAUAAUCCUUUUAGUAUGUUGUCAGUUAGACUUUGUUGAAGGUUUUUGAGACAGGUCACAUGAGGCCCAGGUAGGCCUGGGAUUUAUGUAGCUGAGGAUGAUCUUAACUUGUGAUCUUUCUGCCUCUGCUUCCUAGUGCUGGGAUUAUAAGUGUAUGCUGCAGAUUGAUAGCGUGCUUGUGAUCAAACACAGGGCUUUGCCCCGACUAGAGACUUUAGGACAGUGAUUCUCAAAUGGGCCAUUUUACAACUGGAGGACAUUUGGCAAUAUCUGAAAACAUUUUUGUCAAACAUGGUAUGUAUUAUUGACAUCUACUAGAUAGACUUCAGAGCUAUUGCUAAAGUUCCUACCUAUAACUUUUAGAACAAGCCACAAAAAUUAAGUAUUACUUAGUAUUAAGUGUAUCUUGUAAGAUGAGAAACUCUUAUUGCUUUAGACAAACUACUUUCUGUCUCUUAUCUCUUUCUGUUCUCUGUCUCUCUCUGUUUCUUAUAGACACAGAGAGAUAGAUAAUUGUUUAAGAAUAUUUGUUAAAACAUUGUAACAGUGAAAAAUGAGAAAUAACAUAAAUGUUCAUUAGUGGGGGAAUGGAUGAAUAAAAUAUAUGGAUAUGAGGCCCAGUACUUUAUACUAAUUAAGUACGAUUGAAUUAAAUGUAGCAAAUACUUUAGCAUGAUACCAUUUAUGAUAAUUAAAAAUAUAUAAAAUAAAACCUUAUUGAAUAUGUAAAUUAAAGAUGAGAAGUGAAUUUACCUACCUGUUCAGGUAGUGGACUCAUUUAAACCCCACCUUCAGAGAGUGAUUACUACUGAGAUGAUCUUAAGAGCAGGGUUCUCAACCUUUCUAAUGCUGUGACCUUUUAAUAUGGUUCCUUAUUUUGUUUUGACUUCCACAUAAAAUUUUCAUUGUUACUUCUUAACUGUAAUUUUGCUACUUUUAUGCAUCAUAAUGUAAAUAUCUUUGGUUUCUGAUGGUCUUAGGUGAUCCAUAGGUUGAGAACUACUGUUCUAGAGGUUGUAAACAGGCUUCACUUCUGCCUCUAUUUAUUCUUUUAUAAUGUACAGAGAGUGAGCAGAUAUUCUUGUGUAUUUAUUUAAAUUAUGCAUAGUAUGAAUUUUACUCUAUAAAUUUUGAUUGGUGACAGUAUAGAUAUUGUAAUGGUACUAUGUACAAUAAAAAUAGUUUUAAAUUUUCAACCUGAAAAAGCACAUUAGUAAAUUUGCUACAAAACUUAGCAUAGCAUGUUUAUAUUUUUCCAUUUCUUUCUAUACAGGAAAUUAUUGUGACUUUUCUUUGAACAGAUAUGUCUUUUUGUUGUUUCUGUACCUUUUAUAAGUGUAGUUGUAAAUAAACUGCAGUAUAUAUAACUGUAGUUGUAAAUAAACCGAGUAACAUGAACUAUAAAUUUGUGUUUAAUUCACAAAGAUGAAAACCAGUAUGAAGAAUUACUAAACUACUUAUUUUGUUUAUCUGACUUUUGAAUAGUAAAAUAUUGAUAACAUAGUUUCUACUGAAGGAUGUGAAAUAUUUCUCUUACUUAGAUAUUUGUUGCAUUAAUUUUUUAUAAAAAAUUUUGACUAUAAUAGUUUAAAUAGUCCAUUCAGAAACCAUCAAGGAAGUCAAAUUCAGUCUCUUAAAGUGAUUCUAGGGACUUUAUUAAUAAACAUACCUAGAGUUCUUGUUGACUAACGUUUUUUAAAUGGGCUGCACUUGACUAUACAAAAUUUAUAAAUGUUAUUGAAGAGUGAAAUUGAGCCAUCUCCUAGAAUUCAAGGAUUAGUUUUAAUAUAAAAUAAAACAUUGAUAGUAAAAUGAAGUGGAAUUGGCAUAUAACCUUACUUUUUCUUAAAGUGACAGAAAAAUAAUUAUUUCAAAUAUAGUAUAAUUAAAAGUUAAAGUAACUAUUCUUUGUUUCUUUGAAUUUAAAUUAUCUCAAAUUAAGUAACAG